UUUUUGCGUGAGGGAUAGUAGUGAAAAUCCUUUUUUUAUGGAGCAAUAGCGGAAUAAAAAAAGAUUGUAACGCAUAGCCCGACCAUGC
rnacentral:sRNA from 1 species